rnacentral:lncRNA from 1 species
AGUGCUCUACUUCUCUAAUAGCUAUCUAAUCAAUCCUCUAAACUUGAAGGAUUAGGGAGUAGCUAAUUCUAAUUCUCUGUGGGAGAGAAGCUCUAAACCCUAACUUUGAUGGCUACCUCUGAUAAUGAUUUCUCCUCUUCUCUUCUCUCCUCCAGGGGUGGAGAGGCCUUGGUUAUAUAGUCCUUUCAAGUGAAUUUGGGCCGUCGGAUCAAACCGAUAUUGAUCGCACGGUUUUCCUUGAUCCUUUAGGUCGGUGGAGCACGAUCCAAGAGUUUGGUUCGGAUUGGCCCCGAGACCAGGGCGGGCGCCCUGCCCCCGAGCCCGUCCGGUCUCCCGUUCGUUCCCGUGGCUUCUGGACUCUUCUAGAUUGAGGAAAAUUGCGCGGCACGUAAUUAUCUCGUUGUAAACAAGACAUGUGGGCCUUCUCUCCAUAUUUUUUGAUAACCCUCUGUAGAAAUAGAUAAACACCAAAGCUCAUGGAAUUCUGUCAGAUAAAACCCUAAUUCUAGAUGUUUGGUGCAUAUUGAUCCUUUUCCAUGUUUAUUUGAUGGUUAGAUUUAGUACUUAAGGACUGUCAACAAACUCCCCAAAGCUUACCCUUUGCUUGUCCCUGAGCAAACAACUAAACUCAGACGGAUCAGGAGUUGCUUCGAUGUUUUCUUUCCUGACAGGCACACAUGCUUUUAUAUAAAAAUUCUUCUAGAUUAGAGUGAAGUGUCAUGGAGCUUAGUACCUGCACCUAAGUCUUAAGUAAUUGAAAGACAAAAUAAUUAAGUCAAGCACUAUUCCUCCUGUCUAUACUUCACCUUUGUUCUAGAGUUUUUCAUAAGUUUUCAAAAUAAAACUCAGAGUUCCCAGCAAUGAUUCUCUCAAGUCUCUCUAUAUGUGGUAUUUGUGGAUCCUUACCAAAAUGUCACUUAACUAUAGCUAAUGGAAUAUUUAAGUGGAGCUCAUAGGUGUGGAAAACAGCUCAUACAUAUGUUGUCUAAUCGAGCCAUGGAUCCAAAAGAACUCAGCAUAUAAUUAAAUCAAGAUGUGCAUGUGUGGUGGAGUAAAUGAUAGUGAUGGUAAAAAAAUGUAUAAGUGAUAAUAAAACUUACUUCUCAUUGCUCCUCAUAUUGCUACCUCUCCUCUUCUUUGAUCUUUGGUUUGGUAGAACAUGGGCUAUCUCUCUUUUUUUUCAGGUGGGUAGUAGAUACCCCUAAUUCUACUAUCGGACACUUGUCCAUUUUUUCCGCUCAAGUGGGCAUCUUUGUACCCCUAAUUCUACUCCGGACACUUGUCCAUUUUUACCUCUCGUCUCACUCUUUUUUCUUUAUUUUUCUUUUUCAAGGUUCUGGGCACUUGCCCCGUUUUAUUUCCUAGGAUAUUUUUGCAUAACCCAUGUCUCUUCUGCAUUGAAUCUUUUUGGAGAGAGAGAAUAACAACACUUGGGACGGUGAGUGAUAAUAUUUUUAGCAAUUUUAAUGAGUGGUGGUGGAGGGUGUAGUAGAUGUGUGCAAGUGAAUAUCUUAAUUUAACCACAUGAAAAGUGUUGAUAUUUGGUAACGCAAUUAGAAAAUGAUCCGCAAGCGCACGGAUAUCGGUGAGCAUUUCACCCGGGAGGUUAUCCAGAGUUAUCGUAUUUAUAUUUUUACCACUGGGAGAAAGGGUGCAUCUGACUAACCAAAUCUAUUGCUACUAUCCCUUUAGGCUACAAAGAAUGUCUCUCGAUGUGAGUGAUGUAUAGAGAAGACUACAACCUUAGUCUCGUUCUAACCUUGGUAAGGAUGAUCUACUGUUCUAUUGGGGAGGCUGACGGAAUCUAGACAACACAAAGGAUGUUCGACCCACACCUAUAAACCUACCCGUCCUGCUAACGAGAUGUGAUCUACAAAGGUAACUCGGAAAUGUCAUGUUCCUCGCUACUACCACGGUCCAGCUAGUCAGGGGAUAUCUAUGAGUACCUUAGCCUAAACACCACGUUUACGCCAACAAGUGAUUACUCUAAUACUCAACCGGAAGAGGAUUAAAGUAAACUCAUAAACCAAAGAACAAUAAAACAAGAACUUACUAGUAUUAGAAGUCGAAUUACUAAAGAAUCUUAGAAGCAAGCC